rnacentral:rRNA from 1 species
GAACGAACGCUGGCGGCAGGCCUAACACAUGCAAGUCGAGCGCGCCCUUCGGGGUGAGCGGCGGACGGGUUAGUAACGCGUGGGAAUAUACCCUUUGGUACGGAAUAGCCUCUGGAAACGGAGAGUAAUACCGUAUGAGCCCUUCGGGGGAAAGAUUUAUCGCCAAAGGAUUAGCCCGCGUUAGAUUAGGUAGUUGGUGGGGUAAUGGCCUACCAAGCCUACGAUCUAUAGCUGGUUUUAGAGGAUGAUCAGCAACACUGGGACUGAGACACGGCCCAGACUCCUACGGGAGGCAGCAGUGGGGAAUCUUGGACAAUGGGGGCAACCCUGAUCCAGCCAUGCCGCGUGAGUGAUGAAGGCCUUAGGGUCGUAAAGCUCUUUCGCCUGUGAAGAUAAUGACGGUAGCAGGUAAAGAAACCCCGGCUAACUCCGUGCCAGCAGCCGCGGUAAUACGGAGGGGGUUAGCGUUGUUCGGAAUUACUGGGCGUAAAGCGCACGUAGGCGGACUGGAAAGUUGGGGGUGAAAUCCCGGGGCUCAACCCCGGAACUGCCUCCAAAACUAUCAGUCUAGAGUUCGAGAGAGGUGAGUGGAAUUCCGAGUGUAGAGGUGAAAUUCGUAGAUAUUCGGAGGAACACCAGUGGCGAAGGCGGCUCACUGGCUCGAU